ACCUUUUGAAGGCCACAUAACUUCCCAGCAGAGGCAGCUGGAACUGAGAAGCUUUGGCCUAUAAAAGGAAGCAGGCCCACAGAGGAGGAUAUCAACAGACAGAAGAGCUUUCAGACAGGUUAGUGGAAGCAGUGGAAGAGUUGGGCUUAACAUUGGAACAAGAUCUGCCUAGGAAGACUUCCAGAAAAGGUUUAGAAAGUCAAAAGAACGGAAGGAGUCUGUGGGCAGGGACCCAAGAGGGACAAACAAAUGUGACCAGAAAAGACCCCAAAGCCCAGAAAUUUGCUUUAAAUCCUCAGCCUACUUACACAAUCUGACGAAUAUCUGUCUUCUUAAACUUUUCACACAUCUUUUGAAAAGGUACGUGGUCACCAACUGACUUCAGCAAUGAUUUUUGCAGGCAAAGAAGGGAACAUUUUCAGCACUUUUGAGAGUCCACAGGUGUAGAAGAUGCACCCAAAAAUCGGGGGCUAACUUGGUCAGAAAUCACCUGCCACAAGGAUGGAAAUCCCUCUUCUGUGGGGUUAAAACAUCUCCUGGCAAAGCAGCACAGAGGUGCCAGAGACCUGCUCAUAAAAAAUGCCCACAACACGCAAAUAAAGGCUUCUCUAUUUCUAGGUGGUAUUGAAUGAUGUUAUUAUCAUUUUGUUUAAUUUUGUAUCUGUAAUAAACCCUGUUGUAAACCUUGGACUGUGGCAGCUUGUCACAUUAACAAACAUAAUGAAUGUGCAAUUAAAUGAAUUAAUGCAUAAGGUAAUGCACCAAUGAAAUAUUCCUCUCAUGCUGGAGUGCACCACACAGAAAACAGUGGGGGAUUUCUGCUAACUUUUACUGUGUGUGAAAGGCAAACAGACUGCCUGUGGUUUUAAUUCAAUGAUGAGAGCCUACUGUCUCUACCUGUUUGACCUGCCCCACUGGGGUCCAUGGUGAAGAAGUCCUCUUCAGCACAGGAUUGGGAAUUCCUGUUGGUUUGGCUCAUGUCUUUGCUUUUCACUUUUCUUAUGGCUGUAAGUUCUUCAAGAUCUUGUGUUUCUUUCUCUGUUGUAGAACAGAACUCGGAGCAAUAAUAUCUGAACAUAAGAACAGCUCUGGGAAAUCACCAAAUGGUAACCUGGAAAAAAGACUUGAAAAUUCAUUUUAAUGCAUUUCUUCAAAGGGUGGUUCCAUGGGAGAGAUUGAUGCUACUGAUGGUGUCUGCUGUGUGGAAGGGAGAAGACAAAAAGCAGCAAGUCUUCUGCAGCAGCUCUUCUGCAAAAAUCUCAGGGGUUGCCCCACACUUCCAAGGAAGUGAGGAGUCCCUGCAGCAUCACUGUUUAACAUCAGAGCACGGAGAGAUUUUACAGUGUAAAUGGUGUGAUUGCACAAAGCUCCUGCAGUAGGACCCACCAACAUAAUGAGUCCCAAUGAUGCAGUCCUCACAUCUGCCCUGAAAUUGAGUCAACCCUCAUCAGCAUGCACAGCUUUCCACAAAUAUGAGAGCUAUUUUGCUUGUGUGCAACUACCUGGACCCAGGUGGCUAAUACUAGUGACAAAUAACAGGUGCCUGAAAUACAUCAGCCCUAAAUUUCUCACCAAGGGAGAACAGGGCAGUUGUCACCUGAUAAGCAGUGCAGCGUCCCUCCUCUGCACCCCUUGCCUCUCCCAUUUUCAGUCUGGAAAGGUAAAAGGGGUUUCAGUCCAUCUAUUCAGUCAUCAGCUGCCGAACUGCCAACAGUUGUGCUAAUUUUCUCCUGCUGUAAUGUGGUGUUUAGUGUCUCAGCCAACAAUCAGGGAAGCUGCUGGAAAGAGUCCCACUGAUUUCAAUGACUGUCCAACAACAUGGAGCCAUACACGCUGAAAAUUAAGCACUGAUCCUCCAGACUCAUUUCACACAGGCCACAGGACUGUCCUCUGUUACUAGUAAUUAUCAUUAUUAUUGUCAUUAUGGGAUUUGAAAAAAAGCCCAUGAGAGCAGAUGGACAGUGAUUUUUAUCUAUCAAAAUUCUGCCAUUUAAGGAGGACUUUAUCAGAGCCUAAAACAAAAGAGAAUGGUUCCAGAUGCUGUUCUGUUCUCUUUCCAUCCUCCCAGCUGCUGACCAGUGAUGGUGUCCACAGCAAAAUUUGAAUUUCAUUCAAGUGAAAUGCAAAACCUGUCAAAAAAAAAAGUCCUUACAUACUGCAACAAGAAAAUAAAAGCCUUAAGUUGAACAGCAGAAACUGGUAAAGCUGCCAAAGGAAAAUUAGCAAGUUAGCUAAAGACAGGGUUCAUUAACACUUUUUAAUUUUUUAUUUAAUUAAAAAAAGAGAGAUGAUUGCACUGUAGUUUAGAAAUAGAACUCUAAUUUCAUCUUACAGAAAAUGGUGGGCUUGUGGGAAAGGAAUUUCUUCUGUCAACUCUGUACGGAUCCCAUUAACACUUCUUUUUUUAUUUUAUUAAAAGGAGCUCAGAAUCUAUCAACACUUUCAUCUCAGCUCAAUAAAGCUAAUCCUAGAGUCAGUUUUAA